rnacentral:rRNA from 1 species
CCUACGGGGUGCAGCAGUGAGGAAUAUUGGUCAAUGGCCGCAAGGCUGAACCAGCCAAGUCGCGUGAAGGAUGACUGUCCUAUGGGUUGUAAACUUCUUUUAUAUGGGAAUAAAGUGCUCCACGUGUAGCGAUUUGCAUGUACCUUAUGAAUAAGCAUCGGCUAACUCCGUGCCAGCAGCCGCGGUAAUACGGAGGAUGCGAGCGUUAUCCGGAUUUAUUGGGUUUAAGGGGUGCGUAGGCGGUUUGUUAAGUCAGCGGUGAAAUUUUGGGGUUCAACCUUGACGUGCCGUUGAAACUGGGAGUCUUGAGUGUGUGAGAGGUAGGCGGAAUGCGUGGUGUAGCGGUGAAAUGCAUAGAUAUCACGCAGAACUCCGAUUGCGAAGGCAGCAUAC